GAUGAACGCUGGCGGCGUGCCUAAUACAUGCAAGUCGAGCGAACAGACGAGGAGCUUGCUCCUCUGAUGUUAGCGGCGGACGGGUGAGUAACACGUGGAUAACCUACCUAUAAGACUGGGAUAACUUCGGGAAACCGGAGCUAAUACCGGAUAACAUGUUGAACCGCAUGGUUCAACAGUGAAAGACGGUCUUGCUGUCACUUAUAGAUGGAUCCGCGCCGCAUUAGCUAGUUGGUAAGGUAACGGCUUACCAAGGCAACGAUGCGUAGCCGACCUGAGAGGGUGAUCGGCCACACUGGAACUGAGACACGGUCCAGAUUCCUACGGGAGGCAGCAGUAGGGAAUCUUCCGCAAUGGGCGAAAGCCUGACGGAGCAACGCCGCGUGAGUGAAGAAGGUCUUCGGAUCGUAAAACUCUGUUAUUAGGGAAGAACAAAUGUGUAAGUAACUAUGCACGUCUUGACGGUACCUAAUCAGAAAGCCACGGCUAACUACGUG
rnacentral:rRNA from 1 species